rnacentral:lncRNA from 13 species
AUGUGUAACUGUAGAGGCACACAGGUGUAUCCAGCCAGGGUACUGUAUACCCUGUUGAAAUACACAGGUGUAGCCAGCCAGUGUACUGUAUACCAUGUUGAAAUACACAGGUGUAGCCAGCCAGUACUGUAUACCAUGUUGAAAUACACAGGUGUAUCCAGCCAGUAUACUGUAUACCAUGUUGAAAUACACAGGUGUAUCCAGCCAGUAUACUGUAUACCAUGUUGAAAUACACAGGUGUAUCCAGCCAGUAUACUGUAUACCAUGUUGAAAUACACAGGUGUAUCCAGCCAGUAUACUGUAUACCAUGUUGAAAUACACAGGUGUAUCCAGCCAGUAUACUGUAUACCAUGUUGAAAUACACAGGUGUAUCCAGCCAGUAUACUGUAUACCAUGUUGAAAUACACAGGUGUAUCCAGCCAUGUUGAAAUACACAGGUGUAGUACUAUUCUAGGAUUUGUUCAUUACCAAGUUGGAACAUAUUUUUAUUUCAUAUUAUAAUGCUAAUUUUUGUUGUUGUUGUUGUUGUUGUAUAUCCUCUGCCUUGACGAUGGAAGUAUCCGGUUGAUCCGAUUCGAGGUGACGCUGGCGUCAUUAAAUAAAAGCACAUAUAUAUUUACUAUAUGAAAUAAUGUUUACACUCCUGUUGUUUAUUAAAAAUACAAUUAAAAAAGGCAUUGUUAAUUCAAAUGUCUGUAUUUCAAUAUACUUAUUUUAUACCAUUUUUAUAAGUGACAUAUAUAUUGUGUAUGAAAAGCCUUGUAAUUGUUGUAAUCACUUGAUGUGAUUUUUGUGCAUUUGACAUCAGUGUCCCGUUGUAUUUUUUUCAAUAUUAAAAGGCCCAGAGCAGUCAAAAAAAUAAGUCAUACCUGUGUUUUAUAUAUAUAUUUCCACACUAUGAGGUUGGAAUAAUGUUGUUCCAAACGUCUCUGCCAAUAUCAGCUAUUUUUCAGUUUUCCCCNNNNNNNNNNAAAAUAAAACGAUCAGAAAAACCUGAAAGACAUACGCAAAGGUUAUUUCUGUAUUCACCAAUAUAGUCUGUACAACCCCCCCCCCCCACUCUGACUGGAAAAGUGACACAUAAAAUCUAAACAAAUGUAAAUCAUGUCCUGACUUUCAGGUGUGGUGUGGACACCUGCUCGUCAAACAUCUCAUUCCAAAAUCAUGGGCAUUAAUAUGGAGUUGGUCCCCCCUUUGAUGCUAUAACAGCCUCCAC